rnacentral:misc_RNA from 1 species
UACGUAGGGGGUAAGCGUUGUCCGGAAUGACUGGGCGUAAAGGGUGCGUAGGCGGUCUGUUAAGUCCUGUGUGAAAGGUCCCGGAUCAACCGGGGAAGGCCAUGGGAAACUGGCAGACUUGAGUGCCGGAGAGGAUCGCGGAAUGCUCGGUGUAGCGGUGAAAUGCGUAGAUAUCGAGCGGAACACCAGUGGCGAAAGCGGCGAUCUGGACGGUAACUGACGCUGAGGCACGAAAGCUGGGGGAGCAAACAGG